rnacentral:rRNA from 1 species
GACGAACGCUGGCGGCGUGCUUAACACAUGCAAGUCGAACGGAAAGGCCCUGCUUUUGUGGGGUGCUCGAGUGGCGAACGGGUGAGUAACACGUGAGUAACCUGCCCUUGACUUUGGGAUAACUUCAGGAAACUGGGGCUAAUACCGGAUAGGAGCUCCUGCUGCAUGGUGGGGGUUGGAAAGUUUCGGCGGUUGGGGAUGGACUCGCGGCUUAUCAGCUUGUUGGUGGGGUAGUGGCUUACCAAGGCUUUGACGGGUAGCCGGCCUGAGAGGGUGACCGGCCACAUUGGGACUGAGAUACGGCCCAGACUACUACGGGAGGCAGCAGUGGGGAAUAUUGCACAAUGGGCGGAAGCCUGAUGCAGCAACGCCGGGUGCGGGAUGACGGCCUUCGGGUUGUAAACCGCUUUCGCCUGUGACGAAGCGUGAGUGACGGUAAUGGGUAAAGAAGCACCGGCUAACUACGUG